AGGACGAACGCUGGCGGUGUGCUUCACACAUGCAAGUCGAACGAGGUAGCAAUACCUAGUGGCGCACGGGUGAGUAACACGUGACUAACCUACCCUUGAGUGGGGAAUAACUUCGGGAAACCGAGGCUAAUACCGCAUAACACCUACGGGUCAAAGGAGCAAUUCGCUUAAGGAGGGGGUCGCGGCAGAUUAGUUAGUUGGCAGGGUAAUGGCCUACCAAGACGGUGAUCUGUAUCC
rnacentral:rRNA from 1 species